GCCCUCUCAGGGUUGCAUCUGGAGAGUUUCCAGUACUCUACCAGUCACGACUACAGGAGGGAGAGUCAAGCAGAGGCAUAUCCAUUCUAUUCCCAGCUUGGGGAGUGGCUAAUGAGUGGAAGGCAAUCUGCUACAAGU
rfam:Ornithorhynchus anatinus chromosome X1, whole genome shotgun sequence.